UGGGGAGAAGAGAGGGACAGAGAGCCUGCUUGCUUUAAAGGAACCAACCGGACAGGCUCCUCUCCUCUCCCGCUUUGCUCCUUUAAAGAAGCAGGCUCUCUGUCCCUCUCUCCUCCCCA
rnacentral:miRNA from 1 species